GUAUUACCCAUGUGAGAGUAGGGUGCCGCCAGAC
rnacentral:rRNA from 1 species